UAAAAGCAUUAUAAGCAUAUCGGCAUUGCCAUCUUUGGACUCUACGAUCAACUUGCAGCCAUGGCCCUUUAAAAAAAGUUAUCAAAUUAAUACAAAAACUUUUAACAUUUAAAAUGUUAAUUUGUACAUUAAGCUGUUAAAUGCAUUUUAAAAUGAUACCUUUUACCUUUCUGCUUCAAGGUAAUGCACCCACAAGAACGAAGCACACCACACCAGCAGAAACUGGAGAAAAACACAGGACUGAAGAAGAAACAGGCAGGCUGGCAGGACAUGAGAGGAACAUACCAAUAA